GAUCAUUUCUAGACUAAACUCUUAGCUUGAGGAAAGAAUCAAAUCUCCUGGGCACAUGUUCAAAUCAUCCUUUGCAUCUGUCCUCCUCUCAUGAUACAUUUUCAAAGUUGAUCCCCACGAUGCCGUUUUCAUUUCUUGAAACGUAUUUACUUUAUUACACUGUACUUGGGAGAUGCACGUCCAUGGCAUAAAACUGAAUGUUUUGAGAGGUGAGAAACCCUUUUGAUGCCAGCUAGACGUGCCCAAAACUCCUUAUUUUUCUUCACAUCAUUACCGUAACAUAUCUGUUUAUCAACAGGUACGAGGUAAAAGAAAGCAACACGGGAAGCAAGUAGAUGACCUUUUUGUUAAAAGCAGCCACUUUGUCGGAACCUUCUUCAACAAUCGUCUCAAGUUUUGGGGCGUUGGAAGCUCUGUAAGGGGAAAUCAGAGGAGAAGGAGCAACCUCUACCCAAUUGUGCAUGUAACUCAUUUGCUUUCUCAUGACUGUCAAUGAAGGAGAGAGGUUUCUUGAACAGAAUGAUUGAUGAUUCAACAGAACUUUUGUUCAGAGCCAAGAGGAAUUUUGUUGGUAUGAAGAAGAAUUCUUGAAACAGCCUAUGUUUAAACUGGUUCUUGAGCUUAAGAAUAGGAAUAAUUUUAGGAGGAAAUCAAUGGCAAAAUAAAAGGACGAUUGUUUAGCGUGUUUAAGAAUGUAUAUAACUAAAAUUCAGUCAAAAUCCUUCCACAGAUCUACGCACCAAAUCUGUCAAUUCAUGAUGCUUAUUGAAUAAGAAAAAAAGGGUAAAAAAUAAUAAUAAUAAUAAUAAUAAUAAUAAAUAAGAAAAUGUUAAGCUUGAUCUAUAAUGGCGGAAGACCUUAGAAUUUACAUUAACAAGUAAAACCGUAAGCUUUCUUUUCUG
rnacentral:lncRNA from 1 species